CCAGGCUGAAGACCUGAACAUCGCAGCUGGGAGGAAACACUGCCGUUCGUACACUGGCUUCCAGACACGGCGAGUGCAAACUUAGACAUGCACAAGGAUGGCGUCUGCUAUGAUGGUAUUGUAUCCCAGCAAACAGAACAGUCGCUGUCAUAUGGUCUGUCGGGCAUCCAGACUGGCUGGUUCCCUCUUUGGGUGUGAUCUGCUGCUGCCGUUACCAAAGUCACCCCUGCACCCCAGUGGGGGUGAGGGAUGGGUGGGUGGAGAAUCGCGGCCCUUACGGAGGUGCCUUAACACUAGCAUAAUUGAAGGAGCACAGGCCUGGAGUGGAGUCUGCCUCUGCCGUGCGACUGCUGUGAGACGUUGGAUAAAUCCUUCAUCUUCCUACGCCUCAGUUUCCUCAUCUGAAAUACGGACUCCCGCUUUCGAAGGUGGCAUUCUGAGUGCUGUUGUGUGAUUUCUGGAAAAUCGAAGCUGAUGCACACGUCACUCCAAAGUCCCGUGGAAACAUUACCAUUUAGCAUCCUGAGCCCUUCUCCGGAGGUAGCCUGCUUAAGGGCCUGCUCCACUUGCUCUCUUCUCUUGGAUUCAAA